rnacentral:RNase_P_RNA from 13 species
AAAUCUCUGAAAACAGAGAAGAAAAGAGAGAAGAAAAUGGAGAAGAAAAUGGAGAAGAAAAGGAAAAAUAUUUUUCUUUUUGGGCAACAAAUAUCUCAGUUCAUCUCAUCACAGAAACAAGACGUCUCUCUCCCUCUCUUAUUCCUCCUUCUCUCUCCAAUUUCGUCUCUUUUUCAAAAGAAGAGAGAGAA